GGCAGCCCUUAUCAAAGCUGCAGCUGCUUCUACAUAGCUGCUGUGGUCAAAAGGAAGCUUAACUCUCCUGGUUCAUGUUUACUGUAACACAUCUGGAAGAUCUUGGGAAAAGCCAGUU